rnacentral:rRNA from 1 species
UACGAAGGGGGCUAGCGUUGCUCGGAAUCACUGGGCGUAAAGGGUGCGUAGGCGGGUCUUAAGUCAGGGGUGAAAUCCUGGAGCUCAACUCCGAAACUGCAUUCGAUACUGCCGUGCUUGAGGACUGGAGAGGAGACUGGAAUUUACGGUGUAGCGGUGAAAUGCGUAGAUAUCGUAAGGAAGACCAGUGGCGAAGGCGGGUCGCUGGACAGUUCCUGACGCUGAGGCACGAAGGUCAGGGGAGCAAACGGG